CUCGGUGCCCAGCCACACGGUGACGUUGCCCUGGGCGUAGCAGAGCAGGGUUCAAUCCCGUGGCCCCUGCCGUGAUCCCAGCACGGCACCGUGGCUGCUUACAGGCUGUCUCCUCCAGCCCCGACAGCAGCACGGCUGUGGGGCGCCGCACGUGCUGCUCCAUCUGCUGCCGGAUCCCAGCCACCUUCUCCUGCCAGCUGCUCCCUGCCGGUCGGGAAAGUGGUCGGCUCAGUGCAGGGACCACCGCGGCCCCAGGCUGGGGGUGCUGUGGCCGGCAGGGACCCCCAGCGGCUCUCAGGGAGUGAGACCAUGCCGUGAGCACGGAUCCCCAGCGAUGAAGACCAGCAGGCAGGAGCCAGCCCCCGAGCAGCGGCCCCAGGAUUUGGGGGGUGUGCUCACCUGCGGAGCCGGAGAAACCAGUGAGCCAGCCCAGCCGGGCGUCCCGUUCGGAGAUGUACUCGCUCUGGAGCCGGGAUGGAGCCAUGAGAGGUGGCUGUGGGCAAGGAGCGGGUCCCCGGGGUGCGGGGGACUCCCACCUUACCAUGUGGGCAUCCGUGGAGGGCACGAUGUAGGCGUGGACGCCGUGGGUCUGCAUGAUGCCCCGCAGCACAGCCAGACGCGCCGUCGUGUUGGUGGCCGUCGGUGGCAGGGCCGCUGGGGAAGGCGCCGGACGGGAAGGAUGCCCAGGGUGGUCUCACCCGAAGGCUGGUGCGGCCGCG